GCUCCGUUCGUCUAGUCAGGUCAGGACGACUGCCUGUCGAGCAGUUAGCAAGGGUUCAAAUCCCUUACGGAGCGCCA
rnacentral:tRNA from 1 species